GCCAGCAGCGCGGCCGAGCGCGGGCGCCCGUCCCCAGCACGGAGCACUGCGGAUGCGGCGCGGGGCCGGCGCGGGGCUCCGGGCGCGCUCGGGGGUCGUGAGCGCCGCGCCCCGCGCCCCCGCGCGCCCCCCGCCCGCCCGCGCGCCCCACCGGGGCCAUGCAGUCGCUCAUCUCGCCGGUGACCAAGGCGAUCUUGGUGGCUCUGUUCAUCUUCGCCAUCCUGCUCAUCCUCUACGUGAUCCUCUGGUACAUCUGCCGCGAUGUGGACUGCGACCACGGCAUCUGAGCCCCGCGGCGCCCCGGCCCCGCCGCGCUGAGGGCGCCCCGCCCCGAGGGCCGCUGCGCCGGGCAUGGGGGCCGCGCGCCCCCCGCCCCGGGCCCCGCCGCGCGCCCGCCGCCGCCGCCGCCGCCGCCGGGCCGUGACCUUCAGGGACAGAGCGCGGAGAGCGGGGCCCCUGAAGGGACGGAGAGCUCUGGUGGCGGUGGAGCCUUUGUUCACCUGUUCUCCAGGUGCGAGCCAAGAGGUUAUGAGAACAUCUCCAUCAUGGGCCACCGGCAGGCCAGGACUCCAGUGUAGAGGGGUGGAUCCCUGGAGGUCACUUCUCGGCCCUUUUCUGGAGACUGCCAGCCUGCAUGCCGUCCCAGCUGCACUGUGGGGGUGAAGGGUGCGGUGACCACCAACGAGGAUGAAGGCCAUCCCCCUGUCACUCGUCUUGCCAAGCCAUUACCAGGCGGUCAGGACUCACGGGCAGUGUCUCCUCCGGGGCCAAUGCUGACAUCUGUAACCUCCAUCUACCCCUGUGGUCCCAUCCAGCAAUCCCUGCCCACCGCCUGGCCCACUCUGUUGUGAGGUUCUCAUCAGCCUUCCCCUUGUGCCUAGUCGUAACUCACAGGGGCUCCCACGCCCGUAGGGCAGCCCAUCGGAAGUGUCUCCUCUUAUUCCCGGCUUGAGACUUUCAGAGGACAGUCGGCUUCAGAUUAUACCACCAAUAAGGUAGGCGCAGCGGGGGCCUGACCCUUGUCAUCUCAGAAGCAAUCCAUACUGUUAAAAGAAAGGGACACGGACUGCGUCCAGGGCUCUCUGGCCUCCUCCGGUGCGCAGAGCAAAUGCUCCAAGGAAGAGACCCAAGGAAGUCCCCAUUCCUCCUUGUUGACAAAUAUUUUUGUCAGUCUGUUGCCAGGAGUAGAAACCAUGCUCUGGAAGGAAUGAAGAACGCCGUAAGACACAGACUGGAGACUUUGCACGCGGAAUAAGAGAGUUCUGGACCAUUCUAGAAACACACCUAGCAUUAGUUACAUUUGGACUCUCCGCAACGCAUCAGGCACUUUGUGAAUGGCGACCCGGGGCAAGCGUUGGGUUGCCUUAGUCCGGAUCACCACGAAGGACUUUGAGCUCUUUUUCCUCUGCUUCGUUUCAGACCUGAGGGAAACACGAUCGACAAUUCAGGUGGGCCCUGCCUCGCGGGGCGUGUACGUCUCCAUGAAUGUACUCGCUGGUGUGCAACCCGGCAAUGCCCACCCUCCCCCCGUCCUGUCCGUAUGCACCCUGGUGAGCUUUUUAUACACCCUCCUCCAACGCUACCAUCAUUCUGUCUUGCAGGUGUGUUGUAUGAUGCCUCUGUGUGUUGUCCCGUCAUAGCUUCUGCCUCCCCACGUGGAGAGAGGCAGCCAACACCAAGCUGAGACAUGAUGGCUAUUCCAGAAAAUAAAAUAUUUUUGAAACCGCA